CCUUGCUACCCCUUCCUUGGGCCAGGAGACCACCUGGGUGGGGCGCUGCGUGGGGGCCCAGGCUGGGGCUGCGGGCACAGCUGUGCGUGUGGGUCAGUGGAGGGCCCCCGGGAAGGGACUUCCCAGCAGGCGGCUCUGCAAGACCCCAGGAGGUUUCCUCGCUUCCAGUAAAGCCGGGGUAAGGGGUGGGGGAGGCGCUGCCCCAGGUGCCAGCUUCUGCCUGCAGGCAGCCCAGCCCCCUGGGCCUCCCGCCCGCUGGCUCCCUGCCUCCUCUUCUAUCCCUGGCUCUGCCCCUUGUGCCCCUUCCCCUGCAGAUUGGGCCUUGACUCUCCUCAGGGCCGCAGGACUCAGCCCGGAAGGCACAGAGCCACUGCAGUUUCUCCUAGUGACAACUGGGAAGAGGGUCACAGGCCAGUGUCUCCAAGCAGGGGGGACACAGCCUGCUUUGGGGCGGCACACGAAGACCCCUCCCAACCUGGCUGCCAGCCCAUACACCUUCCUGGCUGUGCACACUGCGUGUCCUGCAGGCCCACUGGCCCUGCUCACUGGAGCUGCUGCCAUGCCCUGGGUGGCCCAGGCACCCUGAGGAGACCCCUUUCAGAGGGUCUGCUGGCUGGCAUGAGGGGGUGCACUCUUCCCGGGCACGGGUCCAGGGCUGCAGAACCAGCCUUCACCUCCAUGACAGUGACAUCUGUCUUUCUCUCCAGCUCCAUCUCACUCUGCUCCGAGUGCAGGGCCUGCUCAGGCUGCGGGUAGUGCUUGUCCCCUUCCACAGUCACUGAGGUGCAGGGAGCAGAGGCCUGGGCCGGGGAAGUGGCUGGGUAGGAUGGGUGCUGUGGCUGCAGGUGACCAGCCUUUUGCAAAACAGUGAGGAACACAGCUGGGAACCAGACCCUGUGAUAUGGGUUAAAACUGCUGGUCAGCUGAACACCAGCUGAAUUAAGUCAGCACGGUGCUGAGCGUAGACGGCCCACCUGAGGAAAGUUGCCGGCAUAAAUAGAGAUGUGGAGAAGACGGGAGAGGCAUUGUGGGUUUCUCUAAGUGUUGCUGUUUGAGCCCUUGGUUCUCCUGGGUCAUGACUGGCUUCCCCAGCGUGAGUUCGACCAUUGUCAUUGGAGGAGCUCGGGACCUGGUUGGUGAGGGCAGCUGAGGUUCACUUUAGGGGAGCUCUGGUCCUUUCUUUCAUCAAGCAUCACUUCCUGGCUCUGGAGGGGAAGACGGAUUUCACUAAGGACCUAAGUGGCCCAGGCUGACCUUGAAUUUGUGAUCCUCCUGCUUCAGCCUUCUAGCGUGCGGAGAUUACAGCUGACCGUAAAUAAUGGGCACAAUACGAGUGCCUGUAAACGAGCUCAGCGUCUUUCUCGGAAAAACUGGGGCUCACUGUCUCCACCCCGACGGGCGCCAGAACGGGAGCACUACAAAAACCAGCCGACCAAACACAUCACCAGGAGCCCCACGCUGUGGCUGCUGUGGGAAAGUUUGGUGGUUUCUCAAGGAAUUAAACAUGGAGUCGCCAGCCUGGGUUAAAGGACCUGUAAUCCCAGCACUGAGGAGCCUGAGGCAGGAGGGUCACUACAAGGCCAAGACCAGGCUGGGCUACAUAGUGAUUUUAAGGCCAGCUUGGACUGCAUAGCAAGACCCUGCCUCCAAAUAAAUAAGUAAAUGAAAAUGAACCCGAUGCUGGAAAAAUAAAAAGGUGAUGGAGAAAAGGGGAGAGAAAAAUAAUUGAAAUGUGUUAUGUACAUGAAUAAACUCCCUACAGGGAAUGAAGUUAUUGUGCACUGCAAAUGUGUCCUAAUAAAACUAGAUAAAUACAUUUUAAAAAUAGACAUAGAGCUGUCAUUUACCCAACGAUUCCACACCCAGAUGUCACCCCAAAGGAUUAGAAGGAUUCAUAAGCCAAGUUCACAGUACCCAUAUUCACAAUAGCAAAAGGCGGCAAAGGACUAACUCCAUCUGCGAAUGUAUGGCUAAGUGGGGGGAUCUGGCCAUGCGAUGAAAUAUUAUUCUGCCUUGAAAAAGAGACACCCUGGCCCAUGGUGCCAUCUGGGUGCACCUCACUUGUAUGACACUCAGUGAAAGAAAUAGCCAGAUAAUAUAGCAAAUCCUAUCUGGUUCCAACUAUAGGAUGUCCCUAGUCCUUGGGUUCA